CCUACGGGAGGCAGCAGUGGGGAAUAUUGGACAAUGGGCGAAAGCCUGAUCCAGCAAUGCCGCGUGAGUGAUGAAGGCCUUAGGGUUGUAAAGCUCUUUUACCAGGGAUGAUAAUGACAGUACCUGGAGAAUAAGCUCCGGCUAACUCCGUGCCGGCAGCCGCGGUAAUACGGAGGGAGCUAGCGUUGUUCGGAAUUACUGGGCGUAAAGCGUACGUAGGCGGUUAUUCAAGUCAGAGGUGAAAGCCUGGAGCUCAACUCCAGAACUGCCUUUGAAACUAGAUAGCUAGAAUCUUGGAGAGGUGAGUGGAAUUCCGAGUGUAGAGGUGAAAUUCGUAGAUAUUCGGAAGAACACCAGUGGCGAAGGCGACUCACUGGACAAGUAUUGACGCUGAGGUACGAAAGCGUGGGGAGCAAACAGGAUUAGAUACCCUGGUAGUCCACGCCGUAAACGAUGAUAACUAGCUGUUCGGGCUCUACGGAUCUGAGUGCGCNGCUACGCUAUAAUUAUCCGUCCGU
rnacentral:rRNA from 1 species